rnacentral:rRNA from 1 species
GUAAGGCCCGUGGAGGCGAGUUGUCUGGCGCUCGGCACGUCCUUAGAGUCGGGUUGUUUGGGAAUGCAGCCCUAAGCGGGUGGUAAACUCCAUCCAAGGCUAAAUACUAGCACGAGUCCGAUAGCGAAGAAGUACCGCGAGGGAAAGUUGAAAAGAACUUUGAAGAGAGAGUUCAAGAGUACGUGAAACCGCUGAGAGGCAAACUGGUGGAGCUAAAAUGGCUUUUGGGAAUUCAGCCCUUCGCUCUGGGGAUGAUGCUGAUUGUGAGAUCUCACGACUCCGUUGGUAUUACUCUUCUUGAAUGAUAGGUGCACUUUCCUUUAAGCUGGACCACGACCAGCGAGUUGUCUUGUCUGAUAUUAGUUGGAAGGUAGCGUUGGUUUCGGCCAGCGUGUUAUAGCCACUGAUUCGGAGCGAGCGACGCGUUGGAUUACUCGAUGCCUGCCCUUUGGGCUCGUACGUUAUUCCUUUCUGGGAUGUCGCUGGCUUCACUGCUUCGGCAGGGGAGUUGGAGACGUUCUGGUUCGGCGUGGCCUCUGCGAUUGGCGUCUACNGUCAGUGGUUUCGAAGUAGGCAGUCCACCUGACCCGUCUUGAAACACGGACCAAGGAGUCUAACANGUGCGCGAGUCAUUGGGCUCUACGAAACCUAAAGGCGCAGUGAAAGUGAAGAUCCAUUUGGUNGNAUUGAGGUANNAUCCUGAGUUACGUGCUCGGGCGCACUACCGGCCCGUNCAAUAUGUCUNCAUACNGGCGNNGCAAGANNGUACACNUUUGGNACCCNAAAGAUGGGUGAACUAUGCUUGCGC